UUUCAGUAAGUGAAGAUAAAAUAGCUGAAUCUCAGUUACUCAGAUUGACAGAUUAGUUGAAGUUUAAAAAUUGGGUAAAUUCAAUGAAUAUAACUGACUAAAAAGGCAGUAAAGUGGAUUUAGGUUGACUAUGGUCAAAUCUAGCCGAAUAGCGAGCAAAACAAGUUUAAUUGCUAACUAUCGACUAAGCAAAACUAAUUUUACCACUAGAAUUGAAAUUUAAUGUGGACCGACUUUUUCAAUCGAUUUUUUCAUAAGAUUUUCCAUCACCCAAAUCCACCAAAUCGUUCACCGCUUUUCGGAUAUGAUAGAUAUAAAGGUGAUGAAUAGUGAAUGGUUUAGAUUUGGUUGAUGGACAAUAUGGGAAAAAGUGAUGGAAAAAAGCCGGUCUCGUUAAUUUACUUUCCAAAAAUAAAUCGAAUAAAAUUAAUGUGAAAUUAUUUUUAUGUAAUGGUUACAUCAAGGUAAAAUUGUUUUUCUUUGACGUCGGUAAAUCUCAAACCAGAAUUGAAACUCGUCCAUCGGGUUCAAAGGAAGAUAAAAUAAACAUUAAUUAGUACUAAAUGGUGAUGUUAAAACUGACAAAAAUAAGGUGGGAUUACAUUUUUCAUCCAAGACAAAAUAAACCGAAGGAAUUGACUCUCUAUUGUCUCUUGAGCUGUUUCUUUUUACGGGUAAACUGUGAUUCAUAUUGUCAGUGAAAGCAACUAUCCAAUCACAUUCAUCUUACGGUGUAAAGUUUAAAGUAGAGACAAAAAUCGUCUGAUUCCAUUAUUUCUUUGUGAGUCAAAUCAUUUCAAACCAUCACCAUUUUAAGCUUAAUUGUUGUUUAAAAAAGCCAGUUAUUAUGUUUUAUGUAAUCGGUUAGUGAACUGUUCUGGUAUUCUGGUAUUCUGGUUCAUCUCUUUUUGGACAAAGAACAUUCCAACAAUUGGUCAUGAUGUUCAAACUAGAUGAAGUUAUUUCAACUCUAAACUCUAGUUUACAUGUGAUUUAUAGAGUAAUGGUUGGAUCUGUGGCUGUUUUAAGUGAUUUUAGAAAUGGUAAAAAAAUCAUCAAAUCAACGGUUCCUUCAUCAAAAAUUUGCUCAACAUUAACUCAAUCAACCACAGACACUAAGGAACAGAUAAUGGUUUGUGAUUCAACAUCAUUCGAGGAACUUGAUUAUUUGGCUUCUGACCAGUCAAGGAAUUUAACACAUGACGAGAAAGGGCGACUUGUUAAGAUGAUCAGUGAUGGUUUAGCUUGUUGGUAUUUCCUCGUUCAUCUAUUUCACAUUAUCAAAAAAGCCUUCUUUGUAAAAGUUCAUAUGGUAAAGCCAGAUAAAAUUUCUUUGAACCAGAGAAGGAUCAAGAAUAUAUCUUUGAAGUUACACGAAACAAUGUUCAAACAAUCUUGAAGUCCAAAGAGCUUAAUAUUUAUCAUUAUGAUAAAAUCUAACCCAAAACUGUUUUUUAGUAAUUUUAUCACUGUUUUGUAUUUUGAAUAACAAAAUAUUUUUCACCCUAAA